UACGGAGGGAGCUAGCGUUGUCCGGAAUUAUUGGGCGUAAAGAGCGCGUAGGCGGUCCGAUAAGUCCGCUGUGAAAGUCGGGGGCUCAACCCUCGAAUGCCGGUGGAUACUGUCGGGCUAGAGUCCGGAAGAGGCGAGUGGAAUUCCUGGUGUAGCGGUGAAAUGCGCAGAUAUCAGGAGGAACACCAAUGGCGAAGGCAGCUCGCUGGGACGGUACUGACGCUGAGGCGCGAAAGCGUGGGGAGCAAACAGG
rnacentral:rRNA from 1 species